rnacentral:lncRNA from 1 species
UAUCUGGAGCUGCAGGUAAAAGUUAGUUCCUAGUUUCUCUCUCUCUAAAUUUCUCUCUUGAGUCAAAGUCUGCUUCCAUUGCAGGAUCAGUGACCAAGAUUGGACAAGCUUCCAUGAAUCAAAACUUAAUGGUGGUUGCCACCAAGUUCUGUUCACUUCUUUUUGACAUAUAUCCAAGAGUUCUUUGCGAAAGCGAGCCUUGAAGAUUGCCGCCUCCAAGUCCCGUUUCGAACUCUUUUAUUUGAG